AGAAACCGGAUUGUGAAGAAUGAUGAUACUUUUGUUGCUAUUGUACUUGCAAUGAAUAUGUGAAUGCUGCUGCUACAAGUGCAGAGUAUGCUAACUAUGAGUAUAGUGCAUGUGGAACAUAUUCGAAUGUUGAAACAUAUCAUUCAAGCUAUGGUCUAGACGUCUAGCUGCACCGGCAAGUGUUGAUAAUGCAAAAUACAAUAGUCAUGAGGGUUAUAGUGGGCAUAAAAACCAUGCGAAUUAUGAAACUAAAUGGAGCUUGCAAGAGGACCACGUUAAACCAACUCGAAUCGUUUUCAGAUUUCCAAUCAGGUAAUGAUGUUGUUGAAUCUUUGUGUUUUGUUGUUGAAUCGAGGCAUGGCGCUUGGGUGCGAUUACACGAAAUCCCCGCUGCAACGCGUGGUGGGAAAUAAACUAGCAUCAAUUGGGAUGUUUCCAUCCCUUUCGAUCUACGGGUGAUUUUGGAAUGGAAUUCACUGAUGGAGCUAAGUGUCGCAACUGAUAUGUGUCGAAUUCCCACCGAUUCUAGAUUCUAGCAAUGCGACACGAAUCAAAUCUGGAGUUAUAUUACAAAAUAUGGAGCAAGUAUAAUCGAGAGCAGAGGUGGUUAUUUCAACCCGUUAAAAACAUAUGGGUUGAAUGUCUUACAACCUUCUUCGCAAGCCCUUUUGACUAGAGUUUAUGUUUGUAUAGGGCCACUUUCAUGUGUGGUAGAGAACCGAACUUUGAGCUCACAGCUGAGGAGAAGGACGAACUCAGUAAACUGAUUUGGGAUGAUUUCUUAACCAUGACUCGGUCAGCAAUCAACAGCAAAAGUAACUUGACUUGUCUUUAACUUUGUAUAUUUUCCGGUAGUUGACUAUUUGAAUUUUUUUACAUUGACUUUUCACCUCAAGAAACCAUGAUUUUUCCAAUUUUUGGAAGUUAAUGGAAAAAGAUUUUGUUGGAGCAGCUACUGAUCUACGACCCAGCUGUGGUGUAAAUCGAAUGGUGAGUCUGCUGAUAAUCCUACAAUUAUGCUCCAUAAGUUUAUAUAUUAUACAUGCUUCCUUGUUUGCUUUUCUUAUUAGUUAAAAAAGAGUAAAAUGCCAUUUUUGUCCAGAGAUUUGGCCAGUUAUGUGACUUUCGUCUCUAAAGGUUUGUUUUUCUGCAUCUGGCCAACCGAACAUAAAAGGAAAUACUUGAUAGUGGCUAAUAGAACCAACGGGCCUAUUAGUCACAUAGGCCAUCUAAUAUACCCGACGUUUGUGACCGGUUUUGUAUCUGUUGUUACAGAUUCGGCUGAUUGAGCUUGAUCGGAAUCAGGGGUUUCAAAUAAAGUGGUGGAACUUGGCAAAAACUCGCCUUUUGGUGGUUUCAGCUUUUAAUGCGUAUGUCACUGGAGGUGGGUUCCAUGGGGUCACGUUUGUGAACAAAUGGUGCGAUGUUUUGUGGCUAACUGAGGAAAGGUGAACCUGUAGUUUGCAGAGCUACAAGCACCGACUCUUGCUUUGAUUACCAUAUCAAGAACUUCCAGAUCUUGUGUAAGCUUUAUCAGAAAUUACAACAAAAUCAUCGACAAUCAGCACCGUGACUUCUUCAUAUUUACAAGCGAGAAGCAAUGCGGUUAUUCCAACGAGUUGAAUAUUCUUCCUUACAACGGGUCGGCGCGACAGGAACCGGUCAACAAGAUUGACAGUUAGAUACAAAGUCUCUUCCGUAAGUUCAAACUUGUAAUGAACCUAUUUUUUUUUUCAUCAUAAGUUGUUAUAAACAUUAAUUCUGCAUUUGGUAUUUGGUAUGGUAUCAUAAGUUAUUAUAAACUUUAGUAAUGUACCUCAAUUAUCCAAUC